rnacentral:lncRNA from 1 species
GUUCCAGUGAAAAACUAUCAGAGCCUUGUCUAAUUUAAUGUUUGAUUCCCAGGAAGUAGCUCUAUGACUUCACCCAAUCUGGAAAAGGAAACUGAGGCACAUAAAAAUUAAGUCAUUCACCCAAGAUUUCACGGUGGAAUAAAUAGAAAUGGAACCAAGGCAUUUUUUGCUCUGAAAUUAGGCAUUUCAGCUAAGAGGCUGAAAAUUUUCUGAGCUACUGUUUAGAGAUGACAUGUAAUCUGAACUGUUCCCUCUUUUUCUUCCACCAGUGUCUGUCAACUGUGCUAAAAACUGGCUCCAGGUCAAAGUGAGACGAACGCCGUUUGUGGAUGAGCUGCUACCCCAGGUUCAUGAGCUCUUUCUCGGAGAUGGCUGCCCCGUCACCACAGAGCUGCCUGAUUCCUUUGAGUUCCUUUACAGUCUUACUACUUGUGGCAUCAGGACUUACAAAUGAUCCAUUCACCUUUGGGGAAGAAGACAUAGAAAGUGAUAAUGAAACAACUGGGGAAAACGCCCAAGGGCCAGGCAGACAGAAGAACACAGCACCACCGGAAGCACCAUCCUUGGAGCCCCCUCCAGGAAUACCAAGCAAGUGAGUCGUCUUUUGACUUAGUACUAUCAAUGCUUUCCAAGGCACAAAAAAGCAAAGGUUCAGUAC